UACGUAGGGUGCAAGCGUUAAUCGGAAUUAUUGGGCGUAAAGCGCGCGCAGGCGGUCCUUUAAGUCUGAUGUGAAAGCCCACGGCUCAACCGUGGAGGGUCAUUGGAAACUGGGGGACUUGAGUGCAGGAGAGAAGAGUGGAAUUCCACGUGUAGCGGUGAAAUGCGUAGAGAUGUGGAGGAACACCAGUGGCGAAGGCGGCUCACUGGCUCGAUACUGACGCUGAGGUGCGAAAGCGUGGGGAGCAAACAGG
rnacentral:rRNA from 1 species